rnacentral:rRNA from 1 species
GACGAACGCUGGCGGCGUGCUUAACACAUGCAAGUCGAACGGAAAGGCCCUGCUUUUGUGGGGUGCUCGAGUGGCGAACGGGUGAGUAACACGUGAGUAACCUGCCCUUGACUUUGGGAUAACUUCAGGAAACUGGGGCUAAUACCGGAUAGGAGCUCCUGCUGCAUGGUGGGGGUUGGAAAGUUUCGGCGGUUGGGGAUGGACUCGCGGCUUAUCAGCUUGUUGGGGGGGUAGUGGCUUACCAAGGCUUUGACGGGUAGCCGGCCUGAGAGGGUGACCGGCCACAUUGGGACUGAGAUACGGCCCAGACUCCUACGGGAGGCAGCAGUGGGGAAUAUUGCACAAUGGGCGGAAGCCUGAUGCAGCAACGUCGCGUGCGGGAUGACGGCCUUCGGGUUGUAAACCGCUUUCGCCUGUGACGAAGCGUGAGUGACGGUAAUGGGUAAAGAAGCACCGGCUAACUACGUG